AAUACCUUAUGGAAUUUUGGUGUGCUAGUUGCUAAAAGAAAACAGGCAUGGUUAAAGAAAAAACUACUGAAUUAAUUUUUUUUUCUAAAUGUAAGAGUUAUAAAGAAAGACUCAAAGACUUGGGAUUGUUUUUACUGUGGUUAGAAAACCUAGAGGCGGAUAUUCUGCUGCCAUUUUUAGGGAAGCCUUGAGAAAAAUAUUUCCAUGGCGAUAGUGACCAGGAUUCGAUCCUGGGGUUUCUCCAUGGAAAGGCUGGUGUGACAAAUAUAGGGGAAUAUGAGAACAUGGCUGUGUCUCCAGUUUUCUUCCUGCUUAUAUCUGACAUUUUAUCUUCUUUAAUGUCAAUUGAAAAAUAAAUAUUAGUAACUAAUUAAUAAUUAGACUUAGAUGUUCGUACUGGUUACUUAUGAUGGCAACAAUUGAGAUCUAACUGCCACAACCUAAAAUAAUGGAAUAUGAGCUGCAUAUACAUAUUUGUAACUUUGUAAUAUAAAACAAGAGGGAAUCCUCAA